UACGGGGGGGGCAAGCGUUGUUCGGAAUUACUGGACGUAAAGGGCUCGUAGGCGGCCAACUAAGUCAGACGUGAAAUCCCUCGGCUUAACCGGGGAACUGCGUCUGAUACUGGAUGGCUUGAGUUUGGGAGAGGGAUGCGGAAUUCCAGGUGUAGCGGUGAAAUGCGUAGAUAUCUGGAGGAACACCGGUGGCGAAGGCGGCAUCCUGGACCAACACUGACGCUGAGGAGCGAAAGCCAGGGGAGCAAACGGG
rnacentral:rRNA from 1 species